UGUAGAUUUCAAGAUAAGGAACAUGACUAGAAUUAAAGAGGUACAUUCCAUGAUAGUGAGUCAAGACACAAAAAUACUAAAAGUGUAUGUACCUAAUAACAAAGCUCCAAAAUAUGUAAAAUAAAAAUAGAUGGAGAAAACAGACAAAUUCAUAUUUAUAUUUGGAGAUUUCAACAUCUCUCUGUUAGCAAAUACUAGAAAUAGACAAAAAUCAGUAAUGAUAUGGAAGAUUGGAACGACAGUAUCAACCAACUUGUCCUAAUUAUUAUUUAUAGGACAUUAUACUUAACCACUAUAAAAUACAAAUUCUUUUCAAGUGUACCUGGGACUUUUACUAAGAUAGACCUGGUCCAUAACACAAGGCUCUGUUUUAUAAAUUUUUUUGACAACUAAUAAGAUUUAACAGUUUUUCUUAGUACACCUUUAACUAUUCUCUGGAAAAUUGUGUUUUUGUGUCCCUUUUCCAGGCACCUAUUGGGUUAAAACUGAGUUAGCCAUUUCACUCAUCACUUAGUCUAUCUGGACCCUAACUCUUCUUCCUAUAGAAUGUUUGAUCAUUCAUUCGUCUGUGCACCCACCAAAUAUUCAUUGAUGUUUUAUGUGUCAGGCAUUGUUCUAGAUGCUGGAAAUAUAACAGUGAGCAAAACAUAAAAAUCCUUGUUCUCAGGGAACUGACCUUCUGAUGGAAAGAAUAAUACUGCCUACCUUACAAGGUGGUAUAAUCCAUGGGGAAGAAAGCAUGUUUACACGAUGGAGUAAAAACAUAAGUGGUUAUAACUUAUUAUUUUACCCUUCCAACAAUUGUGUGGUCAGAAGACACUAAACCAUCCCCUGUACCUCCUCAUAGCAACCCCCAUGGCCUUGCUUUGUACCUUAUAUGACUGAUUUCUUCAAGCUAAAGCAUUUUAAGAAGACUAACACACACAAUUUAUUAUAAUUCCUGGUUUACAAAUUGACCUAGUCACCUAACAGGGCCCUGAAGGAACAAGGUACUGCUCAAGUUUUGUAUUUAUGUCGUAAAAAGGGUCAGAAAAGGCAAGAACAUGGAAAUGGCCGGUGAGGACCCAGGUGAGAAUGAGGCAACACCAGCGUCCUGUGCUGGGAACUGAUUGGAAAGCAGAAAAGAAGACAGGCGUCUUUAUCCUAAAAACCAGAAACCUCCACUGGAGUCUCCAGUCAAAUUGCGAACUUGACAGAGGUGGGGAGCAAGACAGAGUCAGAAAUAUUGCUCCAUUUCCAGCACCAACCACAGUGCCUGGCCCAGAGCAAUAUUUGAGGCAUUAUUUAAUAGCCUCUACUCCAGAUAUUAUAGUUCGGAUUUAGCAGAAAUCUACAUGGGUUGUUUAUGUGGGGGAGAUCUUCAUGAAGAAGGUGGGGCUGGCCUCGACUUCAAGGGUGAUGGGAAUUGGGAGGAUGAAGCUGCCCUAGGAAGGACUGAUGAAAAAUCUUUGAGUAGGUAUGUCAGGGAGUGGCAUCAGUGGUAUAGUGGAGUGUAUGUGCAGUUCUUAAGUCUUGGAGACUUGGUGAGGAGUGGGGCAGGGACAGGCUGAAUGUCAUGAAUAGCAGAAGCAUCAUGGGCAGAGUCUCUGAGAGCCGGUUUGGGACCCGUGGAAGCGGAGCCAAUUAGGGGGAGUAUUGUGACCCAAAGUUUUUAUUAUUAUGCAAUAUUGCUGGACUGGGCUCCCUCUUGUCAGUCUUGGUGAAAUUUCCUGAAUCAGAGUGUUCUGCCUCCCACAUACAGCCUGAAGUCUGCAGAGACUUCCUCAUUUUGCAAAGGGAUAAGAAACUCUUUAUGGAGUCUGGCUUUAAACUAUUAGCUUAAGCAUAUUUUCUUUUUUCGGUUCAAUUAGCUAAAUCUAGCUAGUAUAAGAGCAAGAAAUUGUAGUAAACUAUUGUAGUAAACUCAGGAUCAUUCAAACAAGGGCUUGGCAUGAGAUUCUGGGAACUUUGCUUGCGGCAACAGGAAGAGACAGGGCUUGUAUUAGGAUGUGUAAGCAUAGACUUGGCACGAAUAUCUGAAUUUAUAAGGGCUCCACAAUUUCAACAGUGCCUCAGUUUUCCUAAGCAGAUAAGAUUGGGAGGGCCCAAGUGAAAUUACAGAUUGGAGCAGGAGCUUCAGUGGGUAUUGAAUCAACUCCACCUUUUACUUCCCAACAGCUGGUGUUGGGUGGGGCUAACCAGGGGUGAGCCUUGAUUGACCUAAGACAAUUGGUUUCAUCUCCUCUUCUUUGCCACAUAGAUUAGCUCAUGAGUGAGCAGGUGAUUCAAACAAAGUAAGGCUCAGGACUUUGUCUCAGUGGCUGGGGGAGAGCGUGGGUGUGGGUAUUAAUCUGGACACUGCUGCAGUUAUUUUACUCUAAUGACAGGUGCCAUCCAAAGGUGAGGCCACUGCUUGAAGAAGGCAGAUUCAAAAGACUCGAGAAAAAAUGGAGUCAGAGCCCGAUCAAACCACAGCUGGAAUAACAAGUUACGAAAUACAACCAUCACCACAGCUGAGAAGGAUGUGAGAGCCGAUUCUGAACUGCAAUCACCAGCUCACAGCACUUAACUGAAUGUCUCCUCUCCUCCAAAACCAGAGCCAAGGUCAUCAGCAGAACCCCCAAAUUCAUUUGAGAUGAGAUACUGCAGGAUUAAAUAUGAACUUUUCCUCAAAGGUUUGAUGGAUCAAAGUUAUAGUGUCUUAAGCAAUUUUCAUCCAAUUAUAGUUUGAAGAGUUAAGCUUUAACUUAAACUUAUAUUUAAGCAAAACCAGCAUAAGUGAAAAAUUAAAGGAAAAUGUAAGUACCACUUCAAAACAGAUUUAAAAACAAGAAACAAAACAAAAGCUUAAAAACUUUUGCUAAAAAUUAUCUCCCUUUCUGCAAGCACUUGGAAGAAAAGGGGGUAAAACAUACAAUAAAAUGCUAAUUACUUGGAACAUAUUUAA